AGAGAAUGGAGAUAAUUGGAGUGUGGGCAGCAGCAACUUGUUUCCCUGGGCCGGGCUUUACUAAAAUAGGCAGGAAUUUUGGUUCUUGAUGAAGCCACUGCUUCAGUUGAUUCAGCUACAGAUAAUCUAAUCCAGAAGAUCAUCCGAACAGAGUUUAGGAACUACAUUGUGUGCACUAUUGCUCAUCGUAUCCCAACUGUUAUUGACAGUGAUCUAGUUCUGGUCCUCAGUGACGGUGGAUCCCCAAGAUAUUGUUAUGGAUAUGGCCAAAGUUCCUCUCGCUUACAUCUUUGCUGCCUUUAUUCCAGCUGUAAUGAUAGCAGGGCUUUACUUCUUUGACCACAGUGUUGCUUCACAGAAGGCGCAACAAAAGUUCAAUCUCAAGAAUCCUUCUGCUUACCGUUAUG